ACCACCACCACCACCACCACCACCACCACCACCACCACCACCACCAGUACUACCAAUACCACCACCACUACUACUACAGUCACCAACAUUGCUACUAUUACCAUUACCUCAAAACUUUUAUUCUGAAGAGACCAUCACCACCACCACCACCACCAUCACCUCCUCCUCUUUACCCAAUACCUGAAUCGGCUCCGGAAAGGUAGUGAUAUUGAAACGAACUGGAUUAAAUUGCCUUGAGCUUCGCGGGAAUAAAGCCAGAGAGAGAGAGAGAGAGAGAGAGAGAGAGAGAGAGAGAGAGAGAGAGAGAGAGAGAGAGAGAGGAGGCAGAUAGAGAAAUAUUUUUACUGCCCUUGCAAACACACCCACUCCAGAUUUAAGGUUAAUUGUGUGACUUUACCUGUGUGUGUGUGUGUGUGUGUGUGUGUGUGUGUGUGUGUGUGUGUGUGUGUGUGUGUAUAUAUAUAUAUAUAUACCUGUCUGUGUAUCCCACCGCUGCCACCAGUUUAUGUUAUGCUAGUACCAGUGGUAGUGACUGUGUGUGUGUGUGUGUGUGUGUGUGUGUGUGUGUGUGUGUGUGUGUGUGUGUGUGUGUGUGGUAGCUCUCGGCAAUGAUGUAUGGGGUAACAACUUCUUUAUCAACUUUCCCUCGUUCAUAAGGUAACUUCUUCAUUUGUGUAAGCUGGGGCAAUCUUUCUCAAACUCCGAGCAAACUUGAACACUGGUAAACAAAAGUCCUUCCACUCAAAACAAACAACUCCGGGACUUCGUAACUCGCGCAUCGCCUGAAGAUGAAACAAAAUGGAACAAAAACGAAAUAAAAUGAAAGAAAUGAACGAAGCGAAAAUAACCUAGUGGUAAAAAUACGAAAAAAAAAAUGAAAAAAAUGAAACGCUAAUAAUUAUCCAGCAUCUUAAAUCUAAACAAAACAAACCCAAAAUAGAUAAACAGAUAGACAAUAAAGUAAAAUAAAGAAUAUGAAUUUAAAACCUAAAGAAAACAAACACAUUCCAAAUAAACUAAUGAAGCCAACCAGUCAAGUAAAUCUAACUCAGAACUAAAGAGAUGAGACAGGUAAGACAGGUCAAAGAUAAGACAGGAAACAGAUAAGACAGAUGACAGAUUAGACAGGGAAAAAAUCAGACAGAUAACAGAUUAGACAUAACAGAGACAGGUAACAAAUAAGACAGGUAAAAAUAAGAACAACUAACAGAUAACAACAGAUAAUAAUGAAGACAGCUAAAGGAUAAGAACAUAACAGAUAACACAACUAGCAUAUAACACAGGUAAUAAUAGAUAAUAGAUAAGACAGGUAUACAGAUAAGA